GCCGGGCUCAGUGGCGCAUGCCUGUAGUUACAGCUACUCGGGAGGCUGAGCGGGGAGGACUGCUUGAGCCCAGGAGUUCUGGGCUGUAGUGCACUAUGCCAAUCAGGUGUCUGCACUAAGUUCAGCAUCAAUAAGGUGACCUCGAGUGGGGGACCAUCAGGUUGCCUAAGGAGGGGUGAACCAGCCCAGGCUGGAAAUGGAGCAGGUCAAAACUCCUGUGCUGAUCAGUAGUGGGAUCGCACCUGUGAAUAGCCACUGCACUCCAGCCUGGGCAACAUAGCAAGACCCUGUCUCUU
ensembl:misc_RNA Metazoa_SRP Metazoan signal recognition particle RNA